AUCAAGUUGGACAUGUCCUAUGAUUAGAGGGCCUCUUGAUCUUAUAUAGGACAUUCCUUGGGUGUGUUUUGGGUUGUGAAAUAAUGAGUGCAAAAGCUCUAAUUAUUGGCCCCUAAAGGGUCUUCUAAAGUAAGUUGGAUAACUUAAGUUAUUAGGAAACCCAAUACAAGUAGGACUUGUAUUAUGAGAUUGAAUAAGAUUCAAUCCUCAUGCCUAUUUAAAGAAACCUCCCC
rnacentral:lncRNA from 1 species